rnacentral:rRNA from 1 species
AGGACGAACGCUGGCGGCGUGCUUAACACAUGCAAGUCGAACGGAAAGGCCCUUUCGGGGGUGCUCGAGUGGCGAACGGGUGAGUAACACGUGGGUGAUCUGCCCUGCACUUUGGGAUAAGCCUGGGAAACUGGGUCUAAUACCGAAUACACCUUGCUGGCUGCAUGGCUGGUGGGGGAAAGCUUUUGCGGUGUGGGAUGGGCCCGCGGCCUAUCAGCUUGUUGGUGGGGUGAUGGCCUACCAAGGCGACGACGGGUAGCCGGCCUGAGAGGGUGUCCGGCCACACUGGGACUGAGAUACGGCCCAGACUCCUACGGGAGGCAGCAGUGGGGAAUAUUGCACAAUGGGCGCAAGCCUGAUGCAGCGACGCCGCGUGAGGGAUGACGGCCUUCGGGUUGUAAACCUCUUUCAGUAUCGACGAAGCGCAAGUGACGGUAGGUACAGAAGAAGCACCGGCCAACGUACGUGCCAGCAGCCGC